rnacentral:rRNA from 1 species
GGUGAAAAGCACCCCGGAAGGGGAGUGAAAUAGAACCUGAAACCGUGUGCUUACAAGUAGUCAGAGCCCGUUAAUGGGUGAUGGCGUGCCUUUUGUAGAAUGAACCGGCGAGUUACGAUUUGAUGCAAGGUUAAGCAGUAAAUGUGGAGCCGUAGCGAAAGCGAGUCUGAAUAGGGCGUUUAGUAUUUGGUCGUAGACCCGAAACCAGGUGAUCUACCCUUGGUCAGGUUGAAGUUCAGGUAACACUGAAUGGAGGACCGAACCGACUUACGUUGAAAAGUGAGCGGAUGAACUGAGGGUAGCGGAGAAAUUCCAAUCGAACCUGGAGAUAGCUGGUUCUCUCCGAAAUAGCUUUAGGGCUAGCCUCAAGUGAUGAUUAUUGGAGGUAGAG